UACGUAGGGACCAAGCGUUGUUCGGAUUUACUGGGCGUAAAGGGCGCGUAGGCGGCAUGACAAGUCACUUGUGAAAUCUCCGGGCUUAACUCGGAACGGCCAAGUGAUACUGUCACGCUAGAGUGCAGAAAGGGCAAUCGGAAUUCUUGGUGUAGCGGUGAAAUGCGUAGAGAUCCGGAGGAACACCGACGGCGCAGGCAGCGUCCUGGCCGCUUGCUGACACUGAGGCACGAAAGCUGGGGGAGCAAACAGG
rnacentral:rRNA from 1 species